rnacentral:lncRNA from 1 species
CAGAACGACGAGCGAGAAAUACCAGAAAUAUUAAUACCUCAAAAUAUCAACUACUAGUGGAACAGAGUGUCAAUAAUAAUGAAAAGUGAUUACUCUGGAAUCUUUACAUGUGGACUCAUAACGUUCUUGAUACUCUUUACUCUCAUGGUCAUUGAGAGUGAUCACCUUCCUUCGAAAAUACUAGAGGUUUUGACAAUUGGACUAUCAGGAAUGGGACUAGCCGUGUUAUUCUUAUGCAAAGGAGAAUCCAAGGAUUCGUUAGAAACGACGACUCAAGACUCUCAAAUAAUUAAUAAUAAUAAUAAUCAUCCUUUUGAUGUAACAACACGUGAAAACUGUUGUAGAAGCCAUUCCACUACGUAGCUUGGCUGAUCCUUCCUUGGCUUGGCCCCCUUCACACUUUCUACAUCCAUUCGUUCAUCUGUUAAUUUCUGAAAAAUUUACCGUGAUAUUGGCUAAAACACAACGAAGACCAUUGCAAUCAAUUUUUAAACAAAUUUAGUUAGCUCUUCAAAAAUUAAUU